rnacentral:lncRNA from 1 species
UACAUUAUUUUUACGCCGUACGCAUCAUGUGAUCACUUGCUUCUUUCACCUUUAGAGCCAAGUUUUUCGAUCUAUUUUCUCAAUCCAAAUUUUUCUUGUCCCAUUUUAAACUAUUGGUUUAACAUAUUCCUCCACAAUCCCUUGCCUGGCCAAGCCACAUUAAACAAGAAGCUUAUGAAAAAAUAUGUGCUCCUUUCUUUAGAGGGGGAGAA